rnacentral:rRNA from 1 species
UAAGGAAUAUUGGUCAAUGGACGCAAGUCUGAACCAGCCAUGCCGCGUGCAGGAAGACGGCCCUACGGGUUGUAAACUGCUUUUGUACCGGAAUAAACCUUUUCACGUGUGAGAAGCUGAAUGUACGGUAAGAAUAAGGAUCGGCUAACUCCGUGCCAGCAGCCGCGGUAAUACGGAGGAUCCAAGCGUUAUCCGGAUUUAUUGGGGUUUUAAAGGGGUGCGUAGGGUGGGCCUAUUAAAGUCAGGGGGUGAAAGACGGUAGCUUAACUAUCGCAGUGCCUUUGAUACUGAUGGGCUUGAAUACACUUGAGGUAGGCGGAAUGUGACAAAUAGCGGUGAAAUGCAUAGAUAUGUCACAGAACACCAAUUUGCGAAGGCAGCUUACUAAAGUGUUAUUGACACUGAGGCACGAAAGCGUGGGGAUCAAACAGGAUUAGAUACCCUGGUAGUACC